GUGAACGAGCGACGCCGCGUGUGCGAUGAAGGCCUUCGGGUUGUAAAGCACUGUCGUGAGGGGGGAAAACCGACCCCCCUCAGGAGGAAGCACGGGCUAAGUUCGUGCCAGCAGCCGCGGUAAGACGAACCGUGCGAACGUUGUUCGGAAUCACUGGGCUUAAAGGGCGCGUAGGCGGGCCGGCAAGUCGGAGGUGAAAGCCCCCAGCUCAACUGGGGAAGUGCCCUCGAUACUGCCGGCCUGGAGGGAGGUAGGGGCGUGCGGAACUUCCGGUGGAGCGGUGAAAUGCGUAGAUAUCGGAAGGAACACCGGUGGCGAAGGCGGCACGCUGGGCCUCUCCUGACGCUGAGGCGCGAAAGCCAGGGGAGCGAACGGGAUUAGAUACCCCGGUAGUCCUGGCCCUAAACGAU
rnacentral:rRNA from 1 species